UACGGGGGGGGCAAGCGUUGUUCGGAAUUACUGGGCGUAAAGCGCGCGUAGGCGGACCUGCAAGUCGGGGGUGAAAGCCCGAGGCUCAACCUCGGAACUGCCUUCGAUACUGCGGGUCUCGAGUCCGGGAGAGGUGAGUGGAAUUCCUAGUGUAGAGGUGAAAUUCGUAGAUAUUAGGAAGAACACCAGUGGCGAAGGCGGCUCACUGGCCCGGUACUGACGCUGAGGCGCGAAAGCGUGGGGAGCAAACAGG
rnacentral:rRNA from 1 species